rnacentral:misc_RNA from 1 species
GAUGAAGAACGCAGCGAAAUGCGAUACGUAAUGUGAAUUGCAGAAUUCAGUGAAUCAUCGAAUCUUUGAACGCACAUUGCACUCUCUGGUAUUCCGGAGAGUAUGCUUGUUUGAGUAUCUGUAAACAUCUCAAAUCUCUCUUCAAUUGCUUCAAUUGGGUCGAGAGAAUUGGAUUUGAGCGAUCCCGACUCCUUCGUCAGAAAGAGGAGGGUCGCUUGAAAUGCAGGUGCAGCUGGACAUUCUUCUGAGCAAAAAGCAUAUCUAUUUAGUCCCGUCAAACGGAUUAUUACUUUUGCUUCAGCUAAUAUAAAGGUUGAAUGAACUACCAACGCUGAUUGCAGGAAAACAUGUUCGUUUAUUCGGACUUGUAAACUCGAUCUCAAAUCAAGUAAGACUACCCGCUGAACUUAAGCAUAUCAGUAAGCGGAGGA